AGAGCUAAACUGACAUGUACCCAAACACCCUGAUCGCAGAGUUAAGCUGUCAUCUACUCAGAUGCCCUAAUUCCAAAGGCUCCUUGAUCCCAGUGGUAAGCUGCCGUCUACCGAAACACCCUGAUCACAGAGGCAAAGCACUGUCCGCCCAAACACCCUGAUCCCAGAUGUAGGCUGCCAUCCACGCAAACACAUUGUUCCCAGAAGUAAUCUGCCAUUCACCCAACCAUGCUGAUCCCAGAGGUAAACUACCUUCCAUCUAACCGCCUUGUUCUCUGAGGUAAGCUGACAUUUACCCAAAUACCCUGAUCCCAGAGGCAAGCUGCGGUCUACCCAAACACGCAGGCGCCUCAGGUAAGCUCACAUUCACCCAAAUGCCCUAACCCCAGAGGUAGGCUGCCUGUGACCCAGCCCCCUGACCCCUGAGGUAACCUCGCUUCCACCUAAACACUCUGAUCUCAGAGGCAAGCUGACAUUUGCCCAAACACCCUGAUCACAGAAAUAAGCUGCCAUCCACCUAAAUGACCUACCCGUAGAGGUAAGCUGACAUCCAUCUAACUGCCUUGAUCCUAGGCUGCCCCAGUACGUCUAGGUGGUGACAAUCCAUCCUACAGGGUUGACAUGAUGUGCUUUCCUGAAGCACACAAAGGACACCUCGGGUUUUAUGAAGGUGUAUGACAGUGUUUUAGCCCGACCCUUGUGCAGAGGUCGGAAGUCUGCGGGUG